rnacentral:rRNA from 1 species
GUUUGAUCAUGGCUCAGAGCGAACGUUAGCGGCGCGCCUAACACAUGCAAGUCGCACGAGAAAGGGCUUCGGCCCCGGUAAAGUGGCGCACGGGUGCGUAACACGUAGGCAAUCUACCCUAAGGCGGGGGAUAACGUCCCGAAAGGGACGCUAAUACCGCAUGAGACCACGGACCCUUCGGGGACUGAGGUCAAAGCUGGCCUCUUCAUGAAAGCUAGCACCUUAGGACGAACCUGCGGCCCAUCAGCUAGUUGGCGGGGUAACGGCCCACCAAGGCGAAGACGGGUAGCAGGUCUGAGAGGAUGACCUGUCACACUGGGACUGAGACACUGCCCAGACUCCUACGGGAGGCUGCAGUCGAGAAUCUUCCGCAAUGGGCGCAAGCCUGACGGAGCGACGCCGCGUGGAGGACGAAGGCCCUUGGGUUGUAAACUCCUGUCACGGGUUAUGAAUGCACAUGUAUUAAUAGAGCAUGUGUUGACGUAUGCCCGAGAGGAAGCACCGGCUAACUCUGUGCCAGCAGCCGCGGUAAUACAGAGGGUGCAAACGUUGUUCGGAAUUACUGGGCAUAAAGCGCGCGUAGGCGGCUUCGUAAGUGUGGAGUGAAAUCCCACGGCUCACCCGUGGAACUGCUUUGCAUACUGCGAGGCUAGAGUAUGGUAGGGGAGAGCAGAACUCCUGGUGGAGCGGUGAAAUGCGUAGAUAUCAGGAGGAAUACCGGUGGCGAAGGCGGCUCUCUGGUCCGUUACUGACGCUGAGGUGCGAAAGCUAGGGUAGCGAACGGGAUUAGAUACCCCGGUAGUCCUAGCCGUAAACGAUGGGCACUAACUAGAGGUACCGUCCUGUGGUGUCUCUGGUGAAGCAAAUGUGAUAAGUGCCC